rnacentral:lncRNA from 1 species
CCAAGGAUGGAUAAUUCUUCAAUGUUGCUGAAGUCUUUCAUUCACUGAUACAGACAAAACCCCCAAAACCACGUUUUUAAUAUAGUGUCAACAAAGGAGUUCAAAGUCAUAGGUACUGCAGAAGAGGGAGCUGAAUUGCCAUCAAGGAUUUUUUUCUUCUAUUCAACUGAUAGACAUGGAAUAUUGAUAAAAGAACAAUGGCAGAGUAAAAUUUUGUAGCUGAUUUUAGGAAGAUAAGAGUUUAUUACAGGCUUAAUAUAGCUCAUAGAAUUACCAGGGGAAUAGAAGGAGCUGAAUAAGGCCACUGAAGAAGCCACUCCCUCUUCUCUAACCAUGGAACCACACUGGUUGGGACAGC